GUAGGUGAACCUGCGGAAGGAUCAUUAAAGGAGAAUUUAGUUCUUUCGAGAAAUCGAAGAAUUAAAAUCCCAACCCUUGUUUAUACAAAAAACUUAAAAUUGUUGCUUCGGCGAAUGAUUAAUUUCGUCGCCAGAAGACCCAAAUUAAAACUCUUGUUAAAAACUAAAUGUCUGAAUUAUUUGAAAUAGGAUAAAACCUAUUAGAAUUAAAUUACAACUUUCAACAACGGAUCUCUUGGUUCUG
rnacentral:misc_RNA from 1 species